UAAGGAAUAUUGGUCAAUGGACGCAAGUCUGAACCAGCCAUGCCGCGUGAAGGAUGAAGGUCCUCUGGAUUGUAAACUUCUUUUAUCUGGGACGAAAACGGGAUUUUUAUCUCAAUUGACGGUACCAGAGGAAUAAGCACCGGCUAACUCCGUGCCAGCAGCCGCGGUAAUACGGAGGGUGCGAGCGCUAUCCGGAUUUACUGGGUUUAAAGGGUGCGUAGGUGGGCUUAUAAGUCAGUGGUGAAAUCUCCGAGCUUAACUUGGAAACUGCCGUUGAUACUAUAGGUCUUGAAUUAUCUGGAGGUAAGCGGAAUAUGUCAUGUAGCGGUGAAAUGCAUAGAUAUGACAUAGAACACCGAUUGCGGAGGCAGCUUGCUACGCAAAUAUUGACGCUGAGGCACGAAAGCGUGGGGAUCAAACA
rnacentral:rRNA from 1 species